rnacentral:rRNA from 1 species
GCCUCGUGAAUUCAUCUCCGGGGGUAGAGCACUGUUUCGGCAAGGGGGUCAUCCCGACUUACCAACCCGAUGCAAACUGCGAAUACCGGAGAAUGUUAUCACGGGAGACACACGGCGGGUGCUAACGUCCGUCGUGAAGAGGGAAACAACCCAGACCGCCAGCUAAGGUCCCAAAGUCAUGGUUAAGUGGGAAACGAUGUGGGAAGGCCCAGACAGCCAGGAUGUUGGCUUAGAAGCAGCCAUCAUUUAAAGAAAGCGUAAUAGCUCACUGGUCGAGUCGGCCUGCGCGGAAGAUGUAACGGGGCUAAACCAUGCACCGAAGCUGCGGCAGCGACACUAUGUGUUGUUGGGUAGGGGAGCGUUCUGUAAGCCUGCGAAGGUGGCCUGUGAGGGUUGCUGGAGGUAUCAGAAGUGCGAAUGCUGACAUAAGUAACGAUAAAGCGGGUGAAAAGCCCGCUCGCCGGAAGACCAAGGGUUCCUGUCCAACGUUAAUCGGGGCAGGGUGAGUCGACCCCUAAGGCGAGGCCGAAAGGCGUAGUCGAUGGGAAACAGGUUAAUAUUCCUGUACUUGGUGUUACUGCGAAGGGGGGACGGAGAAGGCUAUGUUGGCCGGGCGACGGUUGUCCCGGUUUAAGCGUGUAGGCUGGUUUUCCAGGCAAAUCCGGAAAAUCAAGGCUGAGGCGUGAUGACGAGGCACUACGGUGCUGAAGCAACAAAUGCCCUGCUUCCAGGAAAAGCCUCUAAGCAUCAGGUAACAUCAAAUCGUACCCCAAACCGACACAGGUGGUCAGGUAGAGAAUACCAAGGCGCUUGAGAGAACUCGGGUGAAGGAACUAGGCAAAAUGGUGCCGUAAC